rnacentral:lncRNA from 1 species
UUCCCAGCAUCCCUCAAGAGAUCCCAAAUAGUCACAACGUUUAUUUUAGCUUUGUGAAGCCUGACACAGAGAACUCAACUCAACCAACCCAGACUUCUGACCUACAGAACUGUGAGGCCAUUAAUCAUCAUAUUUAUUCUACCUUAUCCAACAUGAAAACCUUUUCCUGGAUUGAGUACAGAGCAGGUAAAGCUGAACAACAUUGCUUGCUCUAGUAUUUAUUAACAUGACACCAUCUGUU